GGCGCUAUAGUGUAGUGGCUAUCACUCGAGAUUCUGAAGAGAGUUCUCGAAACCCAGGUUCGAUCCCUGGUAGUGCCU